rnacentral:rRNA from 1 species
GAUGAACGCUGGCGGCGUGCCUAAUACAUGCAAGUCGAGCGAACGGACGAGAAGCUUGCUUCUCUGAUGUUAGCGGCGGACGGGUGAGUAACACGUGGAUAACCUACCUAUAAGACUGGGAUAACUUCGGGAAACCGGAGCUAAUACCGGAUAAUCUUUUGAACCGCAUGGUUCAAAAGUGAAAGACGGUCUUGCUGUCACUUCUAGAUGGAUCCGCGCUGCAUUAGCUAGUUGGUAAGGUAACGGCUUACCAAGGCAACGAUGCAUAGCCGACCUGAGAGGGUGAUCGGCCACACUGGAACUGAGACACGGUCCAGACUCCUACGGGAGGCAGCAGUAGGGAAUCUGCCGCAAUGGGCGAAAGCCUGACGGAGCAACGCCGCGUGAGUGAUGAAGGUCUUCGGAUCGUAAAACUCUGUUAUUAGGGAAGAACAUAUGUGUAAGUAACUGUGCACAUCUUGACGGUACCUAAUCAGAAAGCCACGGCUAACUACGUG